UCUUACAGACAACAUCUCAGCAGGGUGCGAGUUCCCAAGAGCUCCCCACUACAUCUACACUUCAUGAAGUUGGAUGUCAGUCAGACCCUAUAGAGACCGAAACUGUAGCCACAGAGAUAAAGCCGAAGAUGCGAUCAGUGGGCACACAACUUUCAAUGGGUACAUUGAGCAGUUUCCACUUAAGGAGCAAAGGUAUGAAAUACAGACAUUAAAUGUGUAUGUGUUACUUUAUCAUAUGCAGUUCUAGUACAUAUUGUCUUUUUUUAUUAUAAUUGUUAUACCGGCUGCUGAAACUUAUGUGUAUUAGAAAGUGCCUUAUGUUUCUCACUGUAAAAAUAAAUUGUAACAGCAUGACCGACGUUUAUGAGUAAUUGUAUUUUUUACUUUUUUUUUUUGUACUUGUAGGCAUUCAGUCAACAUAUUAUGGUCAUGAUGUGGGCACCCAAACAACUGACAUGUUUCCUGAUGUGCAGCUGUCUUCAACACCAGUAAGGGGCUCAGUCUUCAGGCCCAGUAAGAGACCUCGUCUGGUGUUAGAUGAGGAAGAAGAAUCAGAAUUAAAUGUCGAACCCACUGAUUCCACAUAUAACCCAGAUUCUGUUGUCACUGAAGAAUCAGAAUUGGCGAUAGAUCCACAGCCCGACCACAGCGAUAACAAAUACAUUGUUUUUGAAAGCUGUCUUCAAGAGUGUCCUGUCCAAUUUGUAAGACAAAGUGUGUUGUCCAGAGCAGACGAAGGGGGACUUUUGUUGCAUUGACCCAGCUUUGUGAAAAGUGUAACUACUACAGACAGUGGCAGAGCCAGCCCAUUGUUGGGAGUACCCCACUUGGAAACCUGCUAUUGUCUGCUGCAACGUAUUUUACCGGUCGAUCUUUUAAACAACUAGAGAAGAUUUUCAAAGCCAUGAAGCUCCAGAUGAUGCAUUUGGUAACUUUUAGGAUUCAUGCCAGGAAUUUCAUUGAGCCUACCAUAAUACACCAGUGGAACCAAGAUCAACUAAAUCUUAUAAGACAGCUGCAAGAGGGAGGAAAUGUUGCUGUGGCUGGAGAUAUGCGUGCUGACACGCCAGGACACUCAGCUAAAUUUGGCAGCUACACCAUUAUGCACAUGGAAACCAACAAAAUCUGGAUCUUCAACUAGUUCAGAGCAAUGAGGUUGGUGGCAGUUAUCAUAUGGAAAAGGCGGGAUUGAAGCGUUGUCUUGAUAAGCUGGAGUCUAAUGGUUUAGCUGUUGACUACAUCGUCACCGAUCGCCAUCCGCAGAUUCAGAAGUACCUGAGGGACCGCAAUAUCACUCAGUUCUAUGACGUGUGGCACUUUGAGAAAGGUUUAUCUAAGAAACUUGACAAACUUUCAAAAAUGAAGGACUGCGAGGUGCUGAAAAAAUGGUUGCACAGCAUCAAAAACCAUGUUUACUGGAGUGCGAUUUCCUCUGAGUCUGGGCCAGAAAAGGUGGCU